rnacentral:rRNA from 6 species
UUGUGGUUCAUGACUGGGGUGAAGUCGUAACAAGGUAGCGCUAGGGGAACCUGGCGCUGGAUCACCUCCUUA